rnacentral:rRNA from 1 species
UACGUAGGGUGCGAGCGUUACUCGGAAUUACUGGGCGUAAAGCGUGCGUAGGUGGUGAGUUAAGUCUGUCGUGAAAGCCCCGGGCUCAACCUGGGAAUGGCGAUGGAUACUGGCUCGCUAGAGUGCGGUAGAGGAGAGUGGAAUUCCUGGUGUAGCGGUGAAAUGCGCAGAUAUCAGGAGGAACACCAAUUGCGAAGGCAGCUCGCUGGGACGUAACUGACGCUGAGACGCGAAAGCGUGGGGAGCAAACAGG